rnacentral:lncRNA from 1 species
UCCGAGGCCAAGCCUGUUGGAAGAAGGAAAUAACAUGCAAUAGUAGCACAAAAUUCAGUAGAUAGCAACAUUCGAAACAUGAUAGUCCAGUGGGUCAAGUAGUGAAAAAAACAUAGAAUAUCAAAGGCAUGCGAGGAUCUCUAGGUAGUAGGUGAGGAAAAUCCUCUUUUAAAAAUUAGGGUUUCGAGCGUAAUUGAAUUUUAGAGAUGAUAGAAAACCAAAGUCAGAAGAAUUACACAAAGGAAUAAGAGAUUUUGAAAUAAAGAACUUCAAAUCGAUUCAUGCACCUAAACAAACAGUCUCAUACCCAAAACCGUAGGAUUUUCAACAAUAAAAGAGUUUUAAAAGUGGAUAAACAAGUAAAUUGGAACAGAAACUCAGGAAAACAAACAUUCGUCUAAUAAACAGUCGUAAGAAAUUAGGACUUUUAAC